UUCCCAGAAUUAUUUAUUGUUUUAUAGGUAUGGGUGUGGGAGCGUAUUAUACCAUUUCAGCCUAUACUAUCGCCUUUCAACAAUGAUCAACCAGAGGGUCAAAAAUCACUUGCAUAUAUGGUCUCGACGAAGGGUUCAUGAGGCUCGAAAAAUUAUGAUAUUUUAUAGAGAUGUUUUAGACAAUCUACAAACUUAUCAGUUUAUUUGGGAGUCUUAUUCUCAAGAAGUUCUUAAUGCACUGCCUGAAUGGUGUCGACGAGGGCAGAAUGUGUAGAUGGUGAAAGUGCCAUUUAUUUUCGGAAUAUAUUGUGAGUGGCACAUGGUUGAUCGUGUAGUAAGACAAUUUGGUUUUGUGCAACAUAUACCACAAAAUGUGCAUUAUUCUGAUGAGCAUUAUAAAAUCGAUAAGCGCCACAAAAUAGAUAGGCAUACUCGUCAGAUGUUUGUUGAUACUGAAAAUACAUGGAGUGAACGUUAUCAACAUGUUGUACAAAUAAAUCAUCAAGCAAACCACAUUGGUUAUUUGAAUUGGUAUCGACGACAUUCAUGCAAAUCCAGAACAUGUUGUCCAACAUGGAUAUCAACCAAUCGCAGGAAGAUAUGAGGCAUUGGUAAUGGGACAUGAAAGGCCCCCAAGGCCUAGCUCA